rnacentral:misc_RNA from 1 species
UUAACUAUUAAAUAGUACUCAGACGACAUUAACAUUCAGAGUUUGGUAUUCUCUGGCAGACACGAUCCAGCCGAAGCCAGUGCCCGAGGGCGGCCUGCCAAAGCAACAAUAUAUAAUAUACAAGGGUGGCGAUCUACCCGUAAAGGGCAGGGUACGCUGUAAUGAUCCUUCCGCAGGUUCACCUACGGAAA